rnacentral:rRNA from 1 species
AGUGACCGCUCUCUUUCUUCCUAACACAUGCAAGUCGAACGGCAGCACAGUAAGAGCUUGCUCUUACGGGUGGCGAGUGGCGGACGGGUGAGGAAUACAUCGGAAUCUACUUUUUCGUGGGGGAUAACGUAGGGAAACUUACGCUAAUACCGCAUACGACCUACGGGUGAAAGCAGGGGAUCUUCGGACCUUGCGCGAUUGAAUGAGCCGAUGUCGGAUUAGCUAGUUGGCGGGGUAAAGGCCCACCAAGGCGACGAUCCGUAGCUGGUCUGAGAGGAUGAUCAGCCACACUGGAACUGAGACACGGUCCAGACUCCUACGGGAGGCAGCAGUGGGGAAUAUUGGACAAUGGGCGCAAGCCUGAUCCAGCCAUACCGCGUGGGUGAAGAAGGCCUUCGGGUUGUAAAGCCCUUUUGUUGGGAAAGAAAAGCAGCAGGUUAAUACCCCGCUGUUCUGACGGUACCCAAAGAAUAAGCACCGGCUAACUUCGUG